UACGGAGGGUGCGAGCGUUGUCCGGAAUCACUGGGCGUAAAGAGCGCGUAGGCGGCGCUGUACGACCCGUGUGGAAAGCCCCCGGCUCAACUGGGGAGGGUCACGGGUAACGGCAGUGCUCUGAGUGCAGGAGAGGGAAGUGGAACUCCGGGAGUAGCGGUGAAAUGCGUAGAGACCCGGAGGAACACCGGGUGGCGAAGGCGGCUUCCUGGUCUGCAACUGACGCUGUGGCGCGAAAGCUAGGGGAGCAAACGGG
rnacentral:rRNA from 1 species